GAUGAACGCUAGCUACAGGCUUAACACAUGCAAGUCGAGGGGCAGCGGGAUUGAAGCUUGCUUCAAUUGCCGGCGACCGGCGCACGGGUGAGUAACGCGUAUCCAACCUUCCGUACACUCAGGGAUAGCCUUUCGAAAGAAAGAUUAAUACCUGAUGGUAUGAUGAGAUCGCAUGGUAUCAUCAUUAAAGAUUUAUCGGUGUACGAUGGGGAUGCGUUCCAUUAGGUAGUAGGCGGGGUAACGGCCCACCUAGCCUACGAUGGAUAGGGGUUCUGAGAGGAAGGUCCCCCACAUUGGAACUGAGACACGGUCCAAACUCCUACGGGAGGCAGCAGUGAGGAAUAUUGGUCAAUGGACGAGAGUCUGAACCAGCCAAGUAGCGUGAAGGAUGAAGGUCCUACGGAUUGUAAACUUCUUUUAUAAGGGAUAAAACCUCCCACGUGUGGGAGCUUGUAUGUACCUUAUGAAUAAGCAUCGGCUAACUCCGUGCCAGCAGCCG
rnacentral:rRNA from 1 species